AGUCGACGGUAACAGGAAGCAGCUUGCUGCUUCGCUGACGAGUGGCGGACGGGUGAGUAAUGUCUGGGAAACUGCCUGAUGGAGGGGGAUAACUACUGGAAACGGUAGCUAAUACCGCAUAACGUCGCAAGACCAAAGAGGGGGACCUUCGGGCCUCUUGCCAUCGGAUGUGCCCAGAUGGGAUUAGCUAGUAGGUGGGGUAACGGCUCACCUAGGCGACGAUCCCUAGCUGGUCUGAGAGGAUGACCAGCCACACUGGAACUGAGACACGGUCCAGACUCCUACGGGAGGCAGCAGUGGGGAAUAUUGCACAAUGGGCGCAAGCCUGAUGCAGCCAUGCCGCGUGUAUGAAGAAGGCCUUCGGGUUGUAAAGUACUUUCAGCGGGGAGGAAGGGAGUAAAGUUAAUACCUUUGCUCAUUGACGUUACCCGCAGAAGAAGCACCGGCUAACUCCGUGCCAGCAGCCGCGGUAAUACGGAGGGUGCAAGCGUUAAUCGGAAUUACUGGGCGUAAAGCGCACGCAGGCGGUUUGUUAAGUCAGAUGUGAAAUCCCCGGGCUCAACCUGGGAACUGCAUCUGAUACUGGCAAGCUUGAGUCUCGUAGAGGGGGGUAGAAUUCCAGGUGUAGCGGUGAAAUGCGU
rnacentral:rRNA from 1 species